rnacentral:rRNA from 1 species
UACGGGGGGGGUAAGCGUUGUUCGGAAUUACUGGGCGUAAAGGGCUCGUAGGCGGCCAACUAAGUCGGACGUGAAAUCCCUCAGCUUAACUGGGGAACUGCGUCCGAUACUGGAUGGCUUGGAUUUGGGAGAGGGAUGCGGAAUUCCAGGUGUAGCGGUGAAAUGCGUAGAUAUCUGGAGGAACACCGGUGGCGAAGGUGGCAUCCUGGACCAACACUGACGCUGAGGAGCGAAAGCCAGGGGAGCAAACGGG